UUUUUUUUUUGGAGCAUAAUAGUUCUUGGGGAGCGUUGAAUCGUAUUUAAAAAGUGCCUUAUUAUUCUAGCUACUGGGGUCAUAGUGAUUAUUGUUUUCAUUCAGAUUAAUUAUCAAAGGGAAUCAAGAUAGACACGCUGAGCUUGACUUACUAGGAUGACAUUCCUUAUUCUGUUUCUAACUAGAAUCAUUAGGUUUGUCUACUUGUUGAGUACUUUUGACUGAAAGAUGUUAUCAACCCAGGGCACCUGCGUGACUCAGUUGGUUGAGCAUCUGCCUUCAGCUCAGGUCAUGGUCCCAGGGUCCUGGGAUUGAGCCCUACAUUGGGCUCCCUACUUGUGGGGAGCCUGCUUCUCCCUCUCCUCCCUGCCUGUGCUCUCUCAAAUAAAUAAAAUCUUUAAAAAAAGUUGUUAUCAACACUCCUCCCUGACACCCCAUCACGCAAUAACUCCCCUCCCAUAAAUACACCCAGACACAGCUCUGAGAUUUCUAGCCAGUCCUGGGUUCUCUGUGAGUACCGGCUGCAUGAUGACAUGAUUAAAGAGAUAAAUUGGCCAAGUCCCCACAGUUUAUGAAUUCAGACUACAUGGAAUUGGGGUAUGGCCUCAGGAGACUUACAGUAUUUGCUGAAAACUGACACUUAAACUGAACAUCAGAGAACAUUCUGUCCCCCAUUCCCCACUCCCAGGCUAACAAGCACCGAGUGAAAAGAACAGUGAAUUACGGCUGGUAAUGCUGCAAGUGACAGAUUCUGAGGAGCAGACAUUUAGUGAAACCCUCUAGCAAACUAACUCACAUCUUGAAUACCGGAAGACUUUGAAGCUGGAGGUGUCCUGAGAGUAAGCAUAACAACAAACUGCAAACUAAGCCCAGUUUGUGACCAGAUAAACACAAGUACUGGAUAACUGGCAUACCACGACCCAAUGUGAGCUCACUGAGCAUUACAAAAUUUCCAUCACUGUGAGCUCUCUCAUACAACAUAGAUCCCGUGAUGCUGCAUCUUACUGCAUCUGGCCAGGUGGUACUCAGUUGCAUUUUGUCCCCCCAUCUCUGAGGAUGAUCGUGUCAAUCACUUGAUUUUGGUAGGGGCUGCUAGGCUUUGCUGUAAAAUUACUCUUCCCCUGUUAAAUUUAAAAAUAUUUUGUGGGCUAGUGACUUGAAACUAUAGGUCUUUUAGUUCUCGUCAAACUUUUAAUUUACACACUUAUGUCUAUCUGCAGGAAUGCGUGGUAUCCUAUUUUACUAAGUAAUAAUGCCUUGCUAUUAAUAUUUUGAUGCUCAAAUUGUCUUUAAUUUUGCUGGUAGGAGUCCUUUCAAGGUGGUUCUUUCAUCUUUUAGACAUGCCCCAUCAAGCACCUCCUUGCUUUUUCUACAAGUUGUUUGAGGUUUGUCUUGUUCUUUUUCCUGACACAACUCUAGGAUCAACCAUUUCUUAAAGAGCCCAGUUCAAGUGGAGAGUGUAUUUAGAAGCCAAGAUUUAGAACUUGGCCGACAGAAUGAAAACCUGUGACAGAAUGACACUUUUCCUUUGUUCUCUUCUGGGUAAAAGACAGGCAACGAGAACCCCGGUUCUGAAUGAGUGCAUGACACUGUAUCUCCAUAGGUCACAGUAUUCUGAGGGAAGGAGUCGCUGAAGUGGUAUAGUCUCCACUCUAAGGCAGGCAUAGGAAAACAGGACAAGGCCACAAAUACCCUUAUAAGAUUUACCUUUUUGUCCCAUAUCCUUUGUUCCUUUAAAAAUGCUUGUGUUUGGGAUACCUGGGUGGCUCAGCUGGUUGAGUGUUUGCCUUCCGCUCAGGUCAUGAUCUCAAGCUCCUAGGAUCAAGCCCCACAUUGGGCUCCCUGCUUAGUGGGAAGCCUGCUUCUCCUUCUACCUCUGUCUGCUGAUCCCUCUGCUUAUGCUCUCUCUCUGUCAAAUAAAGGAAUGAAAUAUUUUUUAAAAAUGCUGUAAUUAAAGAAUAAUGAUUACUUCACCCUACUGGUGAAGUAAUCAUAGAAGACUGGGAAUAUCAUAGAAGUUGGCCACAGAAUUCAGUCUACUAGUCUAACAAUGCUUGCCAUAGUGCAGGCAUACAAUAAUUCUUUUAUGAAUAAUCAUAAGUUAUUGCCAUUAAUUUUGUCUGCUGUGUGGUAAAUCCAAACACCUAGAGACUACAGUCCAUUUUGAUUGCAAAUAUAUUUUCUUAUACUUUUAUAGUAUUCUCUCGGCCUCAUCUGAUUUCUGCUUCUGAAAUUCCUGUUGUGUAUCAAUUAAAAUCGGUAUAUUUGUUACUAGGAAUCACCUUUUCUAUCAUUUCAGUUUAUCUGACUUCCUGGACUUUCUAAAAUCUCUUUUAUCACGUUAUCCUUCUACUUUAUGCAAUCUAGUGUCUCCGUCAUACUUUAAAAUGUGGUCGUCAAAUUUUUCAACAUUAAAAUUUUGUUCUCACAAGAAUGUUCCUUUUUCUCUCCUGCCUUUUCCAGAAAGUAAUCUGCAGCAUUCCCUCAAAUCUCCUUGAAGUUAUAAAUUUGUGUACAAAUGUCAGGACAUUUGUUGUAAUAACUAGUAAUUUU
rnacentral:lncRNA from 1 species